rfam:Gossypium raimondii Chr11_contig_603, whole genome shotgun sequence.
CAUGUUAGCGCGAUGUGCUGACUCAGUAGGAAAUCGCGUCCUAGGGAGCGCGAUUUCCUACUGAGUCAGCACAUCGCGUUGACGUGG